rnacentral:lncRNA from 1 species
AGAGCUGCGGUCCCUGUGCGCGGGAUCGCGUCGGGGGCGGGGCGGCGACAGGCCUUCAACGUCAAACUGCUGACGGGCGCCGUUACGACCCGCGCUCCCGUGCGCUCCUCAAAUUCUGAGACGCGUGGCUGGAGAGCGGGCGGCCCUGGCCCCGGAGAGCCGUGUUCCCGCGGGAUCUCGUCGCGGGCGUGAGGCGGGGCCGGCCUGGGCCGGUCAUCCCUGGCUGGCGCGACCCGCAGCCUGUCCGGGAAGCCGUUGCGACAUGCGGGCUGGGAACCGCCUCACCUCCAGGGGGGACCGCGGCGGCCCGCUAGACUCUGGUCGGGUCUGGAGUAUUGGGCCCUCUGGCCGGACUCGGUGCUCCUCAGGCCCCAGCGCCCGGCACUGAGCCUCGCAUCCACAUUCGCAGAGUAAACCCAACAAGUGUUGAAUGAAUGAGGUUCCCCGGGCCCCGGCUGUCACUGGGCUCUGCGCCAGGCCAAGAGCCGAAGGCGGGGGAGGAAGAUGUCGAAAUGGGCGGGAUGAUUCACAGAUGACGGCCGGUGGCGAGGCGGGGCUGGAGGCCGCAUCCCAAAGGCAGCAGGGAAGUGCGGCGGCUGUGGGGAAGCUCGGACGCACGGCCUGGCCGAGUCUGAAGCAUCAGUAUUUUGUCCCUGAGCCGGCGCGCUGAUGGGUCCCCCGCCUGGCGAUGAGGGCUUCUCCCUCCCUCGGGUCAGCCCGGGUCCUGAGAGGCAAGGCCAGCGAUUCCCGGCCUUAGGACCUCCUGCUCUAGGGAGCACGGGCGUCUUCUUCCAUUUGCCUUCCCCGAGCGUGUUGGCACAAGCUGCCCGCGGUUUCCAGCUCUGUCUUCUCUGUUUUACCCAGAUGAUGCAACUGUGGACUUCUCCAUCUGUUCAUAGGUUUUCCUUGGAUAGGAAAGAUGUUUUCCUUUUUUCUUUCUAAAGUUUAGCUCUUCUCUGGGCUUCCUUUUUAAAAACUUUUUCUACUCUCUUCAGCAGUUGUUAUUAACCUUUAGGUCGCGACCGUUUGGAAAAUAAUAAAACUACGAAUUCUCUUCUCCUACUUCCACCUCCCA